CAAAGUUAAUAAGGGCGCACGGUGGAUGCCUUGGCAUUAAGAGCCGAAGAAGGACGUGACUAACGACGAUAUUCUAGGGGGAGCAGUAAGUACGCAUUGAUCCCUAGGUCUCCGAAUGGGGAAACCCACUAUGUUAUGCAUAGUAUCCGUAAGUGAAUACAUAGCUUACGUGAAGGUAACGCAGAGAACUGAAACAUCUAAGUACCUGCAGGAAGAGAAAGUAAAAACGAUUUCCUAAGUAGCGGCGAGCGAACGGGAAACAGGCCAAACCAAGAAGCUUGCUUCUUGGGGUUGUAGGACUGCAACGUGGACUUAAAGUUUAUAGAAGAAUUACCUGGGAAGGUAAGCCAAAGAGAGUAAUAGCCUCGUAUUUGAAAUAGACUUUAUACCUAGCAGUAUCCUGAGUAGGGCUGGACACGCGAAAUCCAGUUUGAAUCCGGGAGGACCAUCUCCCAAGCCUAAAUACUCCUUAAUGACCGAUAGUGAACCAGUACCGUGAGGGAAAGGUGAAAAGAACCCCGGGAGGGGAGUGAAAUAGCACCUGAAACCGUGUGCCUACAAGAAGUUCGAGCCCGUCAAUGGGUGAGAGCGUGCCUUUUGUAGAAUGAACCGGCGAGUUACGUUAUGAUGCGAGGUUAAGCUGAAGAGGCGGAGCCGUAGCGAAAGCGAGUCUGAAUAGGGCGCUUUAGUAUCAUGAUGUAGACCCGAAACCUAGUGACCUAUCCAUGAGCAGGUUGAAGGUGCGGUAAGACGCACUGGAGGACCGAACCAGGACACGUUGAAAAGUGUUUGGAUGACUUGUGGAUAGCGGAGAAAUUCCAAACGAACUGGGAGAUAGCUGGUUCUCUCCGAAAUAGCUUUAGGGCUAGCGUCGCAAUUUAAGUGUAUUGGAGGUAGAGCACUGUUUGGAUGAGGGGCCCAUCUCGGGUUACCAAUUUCAGAUAAACUCCGAAUGCUAAUACACAUGUGCGGCAGUCAGACUGCGAGUGCUAAGAUCCGUAGUCGAAAGGGAAACAGCCCAGACCACCAGCUAAGGUCCCAAAAUAUAUGUUAAGUGGAAAAGGAUGUGGGGUUGCACAGACAACUAGGAUGUUAGCUCAGAAGCAGCUAUCAUUCAAAGAGUGCGUAAUAGCUCACUAGUCGAGUGACCCUGCGCCGAAAAUGUACCGGGGCUAAACAUAUUACCGAAGCUGUGGAUUUAAUAAUAAUUAAAUGGUAGGAGAGCGUUGUAAUCAGCGAUGAAGGUAUACCGUGAGGGGUGCUGGAGCGAUUACAAGUGAGAAUGCCGGUAUGAGUAGCGCAAGAUAAGUGAGAAUCUUAUCCACCGUAAGACUAAGGUUUCCAGGGGAAGGCUCGUCCGCCCUGGGUUAGUCGGGACCUAAGGCGAGGCCGAAAGGCGUAGUCGAUGGACAACAGGUUGAUAUUCCUGUACUAGUAUUAUAAGUGAUGGAGGGACGCAGUAGGCUAAAGGGAGCCAGUUAAUGGAUUCUGGUCUAAGCAGUGAGGUGUGGAAUGUGUCAAAUGCAUUUUCCUUUAACAUUGAGCUGUGAUGGGGAAGCAACUACGGUUGCGAAGCCCUUGAUGUCACACUGCCAAGAAAAUCUUCUAGCGUUUAAUAUAAUACUACCCGUACCGCAAACCGACACAGGUAGUCGAGGCGAGUAGCCUCAGGUGAUCGAGAGAACUCUCGUUAAGGAACUCGGCAAAAUGACCCCGUAACUUCGGGAGAAGGGGUGCUGUACUAUGUACAGCCGCAGUGAAAAGAUCCAAGCAACUGUUUAUCAAAAACACAGCUCUCUGCUAAACCGCAAGGUGAUGUAUAGGGGGUGACGCCUGCCCGGUGCUGGAAGGUUAAGAGGAGGGGUUAGACUUCGGUCGAAGCUCUGAAUUGAAGCCCCAGUAAACGGCGGCCGUAACUAUAACGGUCCUAAGGUAGCGAAAUUCCUUGUCGGGUAAGUUCCGACCCGCACGAAAGGCGUAAUGAUUUGGAUACUGUCUCAACGAGAGACUCGGUGAAAUUUUAGUACCUGUGAAGAUGCAGGUUACCCGCGACAGGACGGAAAGACCCCAUGGAGCUUUACUGCAGAUUGAUAUUGAGUACCUGUGAAGCAUGUACAGGAUAGGUAGGAGACUUUGACCUUGGGACGCUAGUUUCAAGUGAGUCGCUGUUGGGAUACUACCCUUGCUUCAUGGUUGCUCUAACCCACACGCAUAAUCGGCGUGGGAGACAGUGUCUGUCGGGCAGUUUGACUGGGGCGGUCGCCUCCUAAAGAGUAACGGAGGCGCCCAAAGGUUCCCUCAACAUGGUUGGAAAUCAUGUGUAGAGUGUAAAGGUAUAAGGGAGCUUGACUGCGAGAGCUACAACUCGAGCAGGUAGGAAACUAGGGCUUAGUGAUCCGGUGGUACCGCAUGGAAGGGCCAUCGCUCAACGGAUAAAAGCUACCCUGGGGAUAACAGGCUUAUCUCCCCCAAGAGUUCACAUCGACGGGGAGGUUUGGCACCUCGAUGUCGGCUCGUCGCAUCCUGGGGCUGUAGUCGGUCCCAAGGGUUGGGCUGUUCGCCCAUUAAAGCGGCACGCGAGCUGGGUUCAGAACGUCGUGAGACAGUUCGGUCCCUAUCCGUCGCGGGCGUAGGAAAUUUGAGAGGAUCUGCCCUUAGUACGAGAGGACCGGGGUGGACUUACCGCUGGUGUACCAGUUGUUCCGCCAGGAGCACCGCUGGGUAGCUAUGUAGGGAAGGGAUAAGCGCUGAAAGCAUCUAAGUGCGAAGCCCACCUCAAGAUGAGAUUUCCCAUUCUUUAUGAAUUAAGAGCCCUGAGAGAUGAUCAGGUUGAUAGGCUGGAAGUGGAAGUCCUGCGAGGGAUGGAGCGGACCAGUACUAAUAGCUCGAGGACUUUACCAA
rnacentral:rRNA from 1 species